GAUGAACGCUGGCGGCGUGCCUAAUACAUGCAAGUCGAGCGAACAGACGAGGAGCUUGCUCCUCUGACGUUAGCGGCGGACGGGUGAGUAACACGUGGAUAACCUACCUAUAAGACUGGGAUAACUUCGGGAAACCGGAGCUAAUACCGGAUAACAUGUUGAACCGCAUGGUUCAACAGUGAAAGACGGUUUUGCUGUCACUUAUAGAUGGAUCCGCGUCGCAUUAGCUAGUAGGUAAGGUAACGGCUUACCAAGGCAACGAUGCGUAGCCGACCUGAGAGGGUGAUCGGCCACACUGGAACUGAGACACGGUCCAGACUCCUACGGGAGGCAGCAGUAGGGAAUCUUCCGCAAUGGGCGAAAGCCUGACGGAGCAACGCCGCGUGAGUGAAGAAGGUCUUCGGAUCGUAAAACUCUGUUAUUAGGGAAGAACAAAUGUGUAAGUAACUAUGCACGUCUUGACGGUACCUAAUCAGAAAGCCACGGCUAACUACGUG
rnacentral:rRNA from 1 species